rnacentral:piRNA from 1 species
UGAGGUUUCUGGGUCUCUUCAUUGUGCA